AAGCACACAGCCAAGACAAUGCAGGAGUGGCUUCGGGACAAGUCUCUGAAUGUCCUUUAGUGGCCCAGCCAGAGCCCAGACUUGAACCCGAUCCAACAUCUCUGGGAGAGACCUGAAAAUAGCUGUGCAGCGAUGCUCCCCAUCCAAUCUGAUGAAGCUUGAGGGGAUCUGCAGAGAAGACUGGGAGAAACUCCCCCAAUACAGGUGUACCAAGCUUGUAGCGUCAUACCCAAAACGACUCAAGGCUGUAAUCGCUGCCAAAGGUGCAUCAACAAAGUACUGAGUAAAGGGUCUGAAUACUAAUGGAAAUGUGAUAGUUUAGUGUUUUUUAAAUGUAUAAAUUUGCUAUAAAAAAUGACAACAUUAUUUUGCUUUGUCGUUAUGGGGUAUUGUGUGUGUCCAUGUUAGUGUAAGGCUGUAAUGUAACAUAAUGUGGAAAAAGUCAAGGGGUCAGAAUCCUUUCUGAAUGUACUGUAUAUGAUCUAUAGUUAUUCAAUGAAGAUGAUGUUUAAAAAACACUGCAAGAAAAACACACAAAAAAUUGUGUAAAUUAAUGUCUUUAAGGUACGGUGAUCAUGUCUUUAAGGUAUGGUGAUCAUGUCUUUAAGGUAUGGUGAUCAUGUCUUUAAGGUACGGUGAUCAUGUCUUUAAGGUAUGGUGAUCAUGUCUUUAAGGUACGGUGAUCAUGUCUUUAGG
ensembl:lncRNA